rnacentral:rRNA from 1 species
CGCGUAGGCGGAUCGCUAAGUCAGGGGUGAAAUCCCAGGGCUCAACCCUGGAACUGCCUUUGAUACUGACGAUCUGGAGAUCGGGAGAGGUUGGUGGAAUUCCGAGUGUAGAGGUGAAAUUCGUAGAUAUUCGGAGGAACACCAGAAGCGAAGGCGGCCAACUGGCCCGAUACUGACGCUGAGGCGCGAAAGCGUGGGGAGCAAACA